AACAUACUCCCUCCGUCCCAAAUUAACUGACGUGGAUUUGUAUAGAUUUUUAUACAAAUCCACGUCAGUUAAUUCGGGACGGAGGGAGUAGAUU
rfam:Brachypodium distachyon strain Bd21 chromosome 2, whole genome shotgun sequence.